UUCAAAUAAAAGCUGUCCGGAUACGUCUGCAGCGUCUCACUGUAAAACGCGUACUCCAUGAAAUUUAGUCCCCAGUUUCUGGCUGGGGAUAAUCCUAUCUGCUGAUUCACGGCCGUUACGGAGGCGGACAUAGCGGUGCGCGGUGUUUUGUUGGUUUGGCCUUAUCAUUUCAGUCCUUCAUGGCUAACUUCUACCGCCUCUUCCGAGUUCUGUUGAUGUUUUUCACUCUCUCAGCAUAUUCUUUGUCUUUUACGAAUUUCUGUUCUCCAGUGAAUAAUUACGAAAUUGAGAUGCCCUGUUCAGUAAUCCGAACCAUGAGUGUUGGAAUUGGAAUUAACUACGGCCAGAUCGCUAAUAAUCUGCCGUCCCCAUCACGCGUCGCCAUUCUUCUCCGAAGUCUAAACAUCAGUAGAGUAAAAUUGUACGACGCAGACCCUAAUGUCUUGUUUGCAUUCUCCAGGAGUGAUGUGAAUUUCAUUAUAGGACUUGGCAAUGAAUAUCUCCAGAACAUGUCCGAUCACGAGGAAGCCCUAGCUUGGGUUCAACAAAAUGUUCAAACACACAUCUCUCAGACUCAAAUCACUUGCAUCACAGUUGGCAAUGAAGUUUUCAACUCCAAUGAUUCCCAAUUAAGGUCUAAUCUUCUUCCUGCAAUGCAAUCUGUUUAUAACGCGCUUGUUAAUCUUGGGCUGGAUAAGCAGGUUUCUGUUACCACAGCUCAUUCUCUUAAUAUCCUAGCCAACUCUUUCCCUCCGUCGGCUGGGACAUUCAAGCCGGAUCUUGCUGAACUCAUACAGCCAAUUCUCAAUUUCCACUCGAUGGUUAAGUCACCUUUUCUUAUAAAUGCAUAUCCCUUUUUUGCAUACAAGGAUAGCCCUGCCCAAGUUCCCCUAGAAUAUGUGCUUUUCCAGCCUAACCAAGGGAUGACUGAUCCCAUUACAAAUUUGCACUAUGACAAUAUGCUGUAUGCUCAAAUCGAUGCGGUUUAUGCUGCCAUCAAAGCCAUGGGACAUACAGAUAUCCAAGUCCAAGUCUCUGAGACUGGUUGGCCAUCUCAGGGCGAUAUGAACGAGGUCGGUGCUACACCAGAGAACGCAGGGUUGUAUAAUGGUAAUUUGCUAAGAAGAAUUCAGAGUGGACAAGGAACCCCGGCAAAACCAUCAGUUCCGAUCGAUAUCUAUGUUUUUGCUUUGUUUAACGAGGAUUUGAAACCCGGUCCAGCAUCGGAGAGAAACUAUGGUCUUUACUAUCCUGAUGGUACACCAGUUUAUAACAUUGGAUUGCAGGGGUAUCUCCCAGAGUUGUUGUAUUCAUCGUCCAAAAGAAAUGUUUUCUCAGUUUUGAGCUUGCUUCUUAUAUUCAUAGCCUAUCAAUUAAUAAUGAGACAGUAGAAGUAUAGAUAGUUGAAAUUCUUAUUCUUAGCAUGAUGUGUUUUAUAGAGGAGCCCGUACAGAUAGAUCCCUUCAGCUGCUGCACCUAACCAUCCAUCUGUAUUAUAUGUUUACUUCCUAUCCCAUCAUCAAUUUGGUUCAUUGGAUGAGUUCUUUUUGUAGUUUCUCACAGCAAUAGAGUAUUAUCAUUUCAUUAUGAAGCUUUUUCACUGUCUUGAAUUGAAAUAAUAUUGUGCUCCAGAAGAAGAACCGGUUUCUUUUUUCUUCAACUCUUUGCAGCUUCAUUUAGGUCUGAUGUAGUAAAUCUCACAAAACUCAAAGGUACUCAUAUCGGAAAAGGGUACUGAACACAUACCUGGGAAGCCGAAUUUGAAACUGCAAAAGCUGAGGAUGGUUGACUAUAGGGAAUGAUCACGGAUUUAUAGGAACAGAAGGUGGGCAUCAGCUUCUGGCCCUUUUGGUGGAGUGAUCUCAUACGUGGCGGGGCCAAGUGAUUCAAGUAGUAAGGGAGAAAGAUGAGGUUUCUUUCUAUAUGAGGCGGUGGCUGUCCUUUUCAAAGGGAGGUAUGGGAAGAGAUUUGGUGGGUGGCUUACAAAUAAAGGAAUUAGGUAUUUUAUUUUUGUUGGUAUUUUGGAUGAGGUGUUAAUGGAUAUCUUCAUCUCUUAAAAAUGGACUGAACCAUAACGAGCAUUAAUGAUUUUGGAUGAUGAUGUUUGGAUUGCCAUUUUCAUGUAUUUGAGAUUUCUGAUAUUUCUUAGGGAAAUUGGCCUCCUUUUUAUAUUCUUUUA